rnacentral:misc_RNA from 1 species
AUUUUCAUUUCUUAGAAGCUGAAAAACAUGAAUAAAAUUAUGAACACUUCACUUGUGACAAUCCAGAAAUGGAAGAUGAAGUAGCACUGUUAACUUCCACAUUUGCAGAUAAAGGUCAUUUUACAAUUGUGGGAAUGUGUAUCCCAUCCAUCAAUCAAACACAACAAUAUGCCCAAUAAAUUGAACCAAAUGCCAAAAAGGAGGCAGAACAAAGUUUUGCCAAUUCCUCAUAAUGCAAGUCGGAUCCGAAGGAAAGCACACCGAAAAAUAGUAAAGCCACACACACAGAUUUCAAAUUUUGGACGGGGUAUUCAGGCAUCUGGCACAGAAGCUGCAGCUCGUUUCAUUGAUGCAGACUUGAUAAGAUGAUUGUAGCUUCCUUUCUCCUUGAAAAGUUGGGAGAAAUGAUGUUUGCAAUACAAAACACCCUCAAGGGCUGCAUAAUUUGAUGGGGAUAUGGAACAGCCACCAUGAGAGCAUUUGAAACAUGACUUGUGAUAGGCCUGGCUCUCCACUGUUACCUUCUCAAGUGGAUAAGCAGUUUUACCACAAGUGGCACACUUUUCUUGCGUCCCAGAAAACAUGCCAGCAGCUUUACUAGGUGACCUUGUCUGAAACCAGAACAAUUUAUUGAGAAUCAAAUUCCAGGCAACAUAUCACAGCCCCAUGUGCAGAAAUACACUAAUCAUAGAUAAAUAUAUAUAAACAUAUUCAGUGUUUGAGUGAAUGUUUACCAGCUCAGGAGUCAACUUCUCAGCUGACUUUGCAGCUGUCGAAAAUGAAAUUAAUUGCAAUUAAACAAGUUACAACAAAAUUGAUUUUAGAAUUGAAUACAAAAAUUUAGCCUAGCAAAGGUAAGAGGCUUACGUGAUUGAAAAUUUUUGUUGAAAUUACCCGUCUCCUUGAACAGCUGCUCAAAGUGAGGCUUACAGUAGAGUACACCCUCCAUCGAGGAAUAAUUGCUUAGCUGAAUACAUAUGAUUCACAGAAUCCAAUAAGCUCAAAGACAGAUACUCUAUAUAUAAAUCAUCUUGUCAAAUCUGGGUAUAUAAUAUGAACAGUUCCCUAUAACAAAAUAUUGGUUCCAAAACUUGGAAAAUGCUAUCAACUCAAAUGUUGGUAAUGCCACUUAUCAAUGAUAAACUUUCUCCCUCAAGUUAAUCUCUCAAUGGUUUAUAGAGAUAUAAAAGAGAAAAAGAAAUAAGGUGUAAUCAGGAAUCACUAGCAUCCUAAACGGCAUAGGCUGAGAUCUUCAACAAACAAGCAACAAGUGCUUUCACGCAAUCAAUGUUAUUAAACACCCUAAAAGCUUAAUAGGCUACUUGGUCGACUUGGUUCUAGGAGUGUGUUGUUUUAUUUUGUUUGACGAAAUGAUCUUUCUAUUGAAAUUUUAUAUUUAAGAAAUUAUUUAUUUUAUAUU